GUAGCCCCCGACGGACCGGGCAAAAUAGUUAUAGAUCACCACCGCCGGUAUUGCCGCGACGAGGCCGAUCGCAGUUGCCAGCAGCGCCUCGGCGAUGCCCGGCGCGACGA
rnacentral:sRNA from 1 species